rnacentral:rRNA from 1 species
UACGUAGGUGGCAAGCGUUGUCCGGAAUUAUUGGGCGUAAAGGGCUCGCAGGCGGUUUCUUAAGUCUGAUGUGAAAGCCCCCGGCUCAACCGGGGAGGUCAUUGGAAACUGGGAAACUUGAGUGCAGAAGAGGAGAGUGGAAUUCCACGGUGUAGCGGAUGAAAUGCGUAGAGAUGUGGAGGAACACCAGUGGCGAAGGCGACUCUCUGGUCUGUAACUGACGCUGAGGAGCGAAAGCGUGGGGAGCGAACAGG